rnacentral:rRNA from 1 species
UACAGAGGUCUCAAGCGUUGUUCGGAUUCAUUGGGCGUAAAGAGCUCGUAGGCGGCUCGGUAAGUCGGGUGUGAAAUUUCGAGGCUCAACCUCGAAACGCCACCCGAUACUGCUGUGGCUAGAGUCCGGUAGGGGAGCGUGGAAUUCCUGGUGUAGCGGUGAAAUGCGCAGAUAUCAGGAGGAACACCAGCGGCGAAGGCGGCGCUCUGGGCCGGUACUGACGCUGAGGAGCGAAAGCGUGGGGAUCAAACAGG